ACUGGGCUCCCGCCCUGCGUGCUAGCGAGGCAGGCAUUGGCAGAACGGACUCGGGGCUGUCCUUCGUGGCCCGGACCCCGCGAGGCCUGUCCUUCCACCUCUGUGGGGACCAAGAGGGCAAGGAUCGUGCCAGGCUCACCGUGGGCGCUCAGUAAGCGGCCGUGCAGAGGACGGUUGAGGGCUUUGUGCAGAGGAAAUGAGAGACUGCUCUGAAGCAAGGCCCGCCUAGUGAGCUGCUAGGAAAAUGGAAGUCUGGGAUUAAUCGUCUCUACAAGGAGGGUGCGUGGGAGGCACCAAAGCAGGCGGUCACAGCUCCCGCAAAGGCAGCCGGCUCUCCUUCCCCGCCUGACGCUCAGGGACUACUCGCACAGACUGGGCUACUUCCUUCUUCAUUCAUUCAUCAAGUAUUUAUUGAGAAACUGCUAAGUGCCAAAUGCUUUGUUCUGGGCAUUGUAGGGGCAGAAAGGUGUGAUAUUUUCCCUUACUCAUCCCAAAGGUCACAGCGGACACUCCUACAAAUAAAAUAUAGGUUAGCAAGAGAAAAGCAUAAUAGAUUGAUUUACUCAAUGUUUUAUGUGACUUGAGAGCCUUCAGGAAUGAAGACACAAAUACUCAGGGAAAUCUUUAUUUUUAUGUCUCGGUUUGAUGAAGAAUGGACAGCCCUGGCCGGGUCUGGUGGCUCAUGCCUGUAAUCCCAGCACUUUGGAAGGCUGAGGCAGGGGGAUCGCUUGAGGCCAGACAUUUAAGGACAGUCUGGGCAACAUAGUGAGACCCUGUCUCUACAAAAAAUUAAAAAGCCAGGCAGGUGCCUGUGGUCCCAGCUACUCGGGAGGCUGAGGUGGGAGGAUUGCUUGAGUCCAGGAGGUCGAGGUUGCAGUGAGCUGUGAUUGUGUCACUGUACUCCAGCCCGGGCAACAGAAAAAAAAAAAAAGGAAUAAGGAAUGGACAACUGUGUAUAAACGCGAUUAGACAAAAGGGAAUGAUUUAAUGUUAAUAGCUGAGUGUGGAAACCCAGCAAUGUCUGUUCAGAUUCGGAUUCUUCUUGUUCUCUCUGUGUGGCAUUCCCUCCUGCUGGGAGGAGGGCAGGACCCCUUCUGGAAUGAGAGUCUUAUGACCUAGUAUCAGGCAAGGUAGAUCAGAGAAUUCCUUUAUGGCCAGGC
rnacentral:lncRNA from 1 species